rnacentral:rRNA from 1 species
AGCGAACGCUGGCGGCAGGCUUAACACAUGCAAGUCGAGCGGACCUUUCGGGGUCAGCGGCGGACGGGUGAGUAACGCGUGGGAACGUGCCUUCCGGUUCGGAAUAACCCUGGGAAACUAGGGCUAAUACCGGAUACGCCCUUAUGGGGAAAGGUUUACUGCCGGAAGAUCGGCCCGCGUCUGAUUAGCUAGUUGGUGGGGUAACGGCCUACCAAGGCGACGAUCAGUAGCUGGUCUGAGAGGAUGAUCAGCCACACUGGGACUGAGACACGGCCCAGACUCAUACGGGUGGCAGAGGUAGGGAUGAUGGGGCAAGAGGCGCUAGGGUUGGAAAGCCUUGUUGAGUGGGUGAGGAAGGCGUUAGGGUGGGAAAGCACUCUCGUCCGGGAGGCGAAUGAGGGGCACGGGGAAAUAAGCGCAGGAGAACAUAAUG